rnacentral:rRNA from 1 species
UACGGAGGAUCCAAGCGUUAUCCGGAUUUAUUGGGUUUAAAGGGUGCGUAGGCGGCCUAUUAAGUCAGGGGUGAAAGACGGUAGCUUAACUAUCGCAGUGCCUUUGAUACUGAUGGGCUUGAAUGUACUUGAGGUAGGCGGAAUGUGACAAGUAGCGAUGAAAUGCAUAGAUAUGUCACAGAACACCAAUUGCGAAGGCAGCUUACUAAAGUAUGAUUGACGCUGAGGCACGAAAGCGUGGGGAUCAAACAGG